CCUACACAACUAGCCAAGGGUCAGAGCUGCUGGUGGGAGCCCCCAGGAGCCCUCAGCGCUGCCCCACCUUCUAUCUUCUUCUCCCCCCCACAGUCUAGUGGGUCUCCUAAGAGCCAAGUGAUGGGGAAGACAGUCCCCCCAACAAUUCGUAAGUUCACAACUGGCAAAGCCAAAGGACCGGACCACAGACAGAGAAAAGACACAGGCCUGCACUCACCCUCGUUUCCUGCCUGACUACGUGGAAGACAGAUGCAAGCCCAGAUGCUUCACACUCAGGGAAGCACAGAGAGAGAGAGAGAGCCUGUUGGUCAGCCGCACAGCUAUGACAGCCUUGUUGACCCUGAGAAAUGGGAAAUACCCUGACAGGAGGCGGACAGCAGCCUUUUCCCAGCAGUCAGAAGGACCUGUCUUUAUUGGCAAAACACUAAACAAGCUGCUGGUUUAUAGCCUCAUCUGAAUUGAACGUUAUACCACGCAAGGA